UUUUUUUUUUCUCCCUGCACGUCAUUAGUGCGGGCUCCCACAUGAUGAGAGCAGGGCUUACCUGUCCCUCCCCUCUCCCCACUUGGAGGCAACGCCCCCUUUUCCACACUGACCCAUAGCAACGCAGGCUCCUUUACAGACCCCUCCCACCUUACUCCUCCCCCUCUCCUAUUUAAAAGCCAAGCAGCCCCACAAUGUCAGACAUUGCUGGAUGGCUGCAGCAGCUGUACACACGCUACACUGCUUGUGUUUUCUUCCCAUCUUCCGAUCCCUCUACUGACCUCUCUGGCCACUUUUUGUCAUUACAGGUAAAAAUAUAUAUAUAUACAAUCAAUAAACUUUUACGCUGUGACACUUCGGGCCAAAGGUCUUGCUACGCUGUGAUUGAUAUUAGAUGCCAGUCCUCACUCCGCUCCUUACCAUCUGAGGCUUGCCAUGCGUCCCGAUUGCGGUGUCCUUUUAAGGGGUGUGCUGAGCCGUUGAAACUUCUCGGGUGGUAUGAUUUUUUCUUAUCUGUACCAGUUUAAUGUUUUUCAUCUGUAUGUUAUUAUUUUCAACACAUUGUCAUUUAUUUGUUUUCUAGAAAAGUUGUCUGUUACACUUUCUGACUCCACACAUACUUCGGUCCCUGAAGAAGGAAACCCGAAACGCGUUGGGCCCAGUAUUUAUAUUGUGGACUCUUCACCUUUUUUCCAAUACACCCCAUUAAUGAGUUGUUUUUAAACCUUUGUACUAUAUACGUUUACUGAACGUUGUUUGAUACCGUCCUGUUAUUAUUAAACUAUUAUAUAUUUUGUAUCUAC